rnacentral:rRNA from 1 species
UACGUAGGGUGCGAGCGUUGUCCGGAAUUAUUGGGCGUAAAGAGCUUGUAGGCGGUUUGUCGCGUCGAAUGUGAAAACCCGGGGCUCAACCCCGGGCCUGCAUUCGAUACGGGCAGACUAGAGUUCGGUAGGGGAGUCUGGAAUUCCUGGUGUAGCGGUGAAAUGCGCAGAUAUCAGGAGGAACACCGGUGGCGAAGGCGGGACUCUGGGCCGAUACUGACGCUGAGGAGCGAAAGCGUGGGGAGCGAACAGG